AUUGAACGCUGGCGGCAGGCCUAACACAUGCAAGUCGAGCGGAGCGGCGGACGGGUGAGUAAUGCCUAGGAAUCUGCCUGGUAGUGGGGGAUAGGGUCCGGAAACGGGAGCUAAUACCGCAUACUAUCAGAUGAGCCUAGGUCGGAUUAGAUAGUUGGUGGGGUAAAGGCCUACCAAGGCGACGAUCCGUAACUGGUCGUGGAGGAUGAUCAGUCACACUGGAAAUGAGACACGGUCCAGACUCCUACGGGAGGCAGGAGUGGGGAAUAGUGGACAAUGGGCGAAAGCCUGAUCCAGCCAUGCCGCGUGGGUGAAGAAGGUCUUCGGAUUGUAAAGCACUUUAAGUUGGGAGGCGUUACCAACAGAAUAAGCACCGGCUAACUUCGUGCCAGCAGCCGCGGUAAUAC
rnacentral:rRNA from 1 species